ensembl:Y_RNA Y_RNA Y RNA
AGUUGGUCCAAGUAUUGUGGGUUGUUAAGCUGAUUUAACAUUGUCUCUCCCAUAACCAUGCUUGACUAGCUUGAA